rnacentral:rRNA from 1 species
GACGAACGCUGGCGGCGUGCUUAACACAUGCAAGUCGAACGAUGACGACCGAGCUUGCUCGGUCUGAUUAGUGGCGAACGGGUGAGUAACACGUGAGCAACCUGCCCUUCACUCUGGGAUAACCUCGGGAAAUCGGGGCUAAUACCGGAUAUGAGCUCCUGUCGCAUGGCGGGUGUUGGAAAGUUUUUCGGUGAAGGAUGGGCUCGCGGCCUAUCAGUUUGUUGGUGAGGUAGUGGCUCACCAAGGCGAUGACGGGUAGCCGGCCUGAGAGGGCGACCGGCCACACUGGGACUGAGACACGGCCCAGACUCCUACGGGAGGCAGCAGUGGGGAAUAUUGCACAAUGGGCGAAAGCCUGAUGCAGCGACGUCGCGUGAGGGAUGACGGCCUUCGGGUUGUAAACCUCUUUCAGCAGGGAAGAAGCGAAAGUGACGGUACCUGCAGAAGAAGCGCCGGCUAACUACGUG